rnacentral:lncRNA from 1 species
AUACACUAAGUUAUGAGCUAACCAAGGUUCUUGUGAUGUUUUUACCUAACUAAGCUUAUGUCAUAAAUGAAUUAAAUAAGCUAAUUAUGUCAUUUUGGAGGAUAAGUAGCUAAGUAUGUAUUUCUUGGGGAAAAUAAGCUAAGGAGCAGAAGAAAGAGGAGAACAAGUUGAAGAAAAAGAAGAAGAAGAAGAAGAAGAAGGAGGAGGAGGAGGAGGAGGAGGAGAAGGAGAAGAAGGAGAAGAAGGAGAAGAAGA